AAAAUACUCCCUCCGUUUAAAAAAAAUUGUCUUAGAUUUGUUUGAAUAUAAAUGUAUUUAAUCACGUUUUAGUAUUUUGAUACAUUCAUUUCUAGACAAACCUAAAAUAACAAUUUUGGGAUGGAGGGAGUAAAUA
rfam:Hordeum vulgare subsp. vulgare, WGS project CAJW01000000 data, contig: morex_contig_39737